rnacentral:rRNA from 1 species
GUGGGGAAUAUUGGGCAAUGGGCGCAAGCCUGACCCAGCAACGCCGCGUGAAGGAAGAAGGCUUUCGGAUUGUAAACUUCUUUUACCAGGGACGAAACAAAUGACGGUACCUGGUGAAUAAGCCACGGCUAACUACGUGCCAGCAGCCGCGGUAAUACGUAGGUGGCGAGCGUUAUCCGGAUUUAUUGGGUGUAAAGGGCGUGUAGGCGGGACAGCAAGUCAGAUGUGAAAACCAGAGGCUCAACCUCUGGCCUGCAUUUGAAACUGUUGUUCUUGAGUGUCGGAGAGGUAAUCGGAAUUCCGUGUGUAGCGGUGAAAUGCGUAGAUAUACGGAGGAACACCAGUGGCGAAGGCGGAUUACUGGACGAUAACUGACGCUGAGGCGCGAAAGCGUGGGGAGCAAACAGGAUUAGAUACCCGAGUAGUCC